UACGGGGGGGGCAAGCGUUGUUCGGAAUUACUGGGCGUAAAGGGCGCGUAGGCGGCCUUCUAAGUCGGACGUGAAAUCCCUCGGCUUAACCGAGGAACUGCGUCCGAUACUGAAAGGCUUGAAUCCGGGAGAGGGAUGUGGAAUUCCAGGUGUAGCGGUGAAAUGCGUAGAUAUCUGGAGGAACACCGGUGGCGAAGGCGGCAUCCUGGACCAACACUGACGCUGAGGAGCGAAAGCCAGGGGAGCAAACGGG
rnacentral:rRNA from 1 species